rnacentral:rRNA from 1 species
GACGGGGGGGGCAAGUGUUCUUCGGAAUGACUGGGUCGUAAAGGGCACGUAGGCGGUGAAUCGGGUUGAAAGUGAAAGGUCGCCAAAAAAUGGCGGAAUGCUCUCGAAACCAAUUCACUUGAGUGAGAGCAGAGGAGAGUGGAAGUUUCGUGUGUAGGGGUGAAAUCCGUAGAAUCUACGAAGGAACGCCAAAAGCGAAGGCACUCUCUGGGUCCCUACCGACGCUGGGGUGCGAAAGCAUGGGGGAGCGAA